ACAUAGCCAGUGCUCCUGUGUGGCAGGUGCUGUUAUGUGCAAUCACACAGUGGCACUGCUCUUCCAAACAGCACACUACUCACAACUCAGAGUGCCGGUUGUCCCCCCCUGUGCAUAGCUGCACGGAAUCUGAACAGCAAUGGCACAAGCCACGGACAGUGGGUGUGAAGCCAGGACCUAUCAACUCCAUGAUCUUCACUAAGCCGGUACCAAAUAGGAUGGCCCAGACUGGAGUACGGAGUGGUUUCUACAGAGGCAUGGUGGGUCCGUUACC